GGUCUUUAGUCAAGGGUAUAUGAGUAGUUGGGCUCCCUUGCUAGAACCUCCAAACAAGCUCUCAAAUGAACAAAAACAAAUUAGAGGAGAAAAUGUGGAAAAAU
ensembl:misc_RNA 7SK 7SK RNA